AUGCACAGGCCACGCCCACUUCGUCUAACAGUAGACUAGAAGGGAAUGAGCUCUUCAGAAAGAAAUCUUAGAGUAGCUUGGAGUAACUCUCCUCUCUUGAAGGAUCAUGACACUGCAGAGUUCAGUGUUUUUAUUUAAACCAAUCAGAAAUGGUACAGAGACAUGGUCAAGUACUCACCAUGGUUCUCUGUCUGACCUGGGCUUUGAACUUUAACCACUGAUCCAAGAGAGCAAUGCAGCAGCGCUUUAGUACUCAUUUGAUCUGUCUGGGCAGCUCUUGCUCUUUUAUUUUCAGGAGAUAAAAUACAAACCUAUUUCAUUUUUUUUUUGCAUAACAGAAGACUAACUUCUCACUAGAAGAACAACAACAAAUCAGCACCGGAAACACUAAACCCAUCAGAAUUGUUUCAUUAUAAAGAUUUUUCAUGGUGGAUAUCCCAGGAUUCCAUGGUGGUUGUGUUCAAAUCCCAGCCUUCCUCUCUGUUCCCAGCUGAAUAACUUGGAUUGGCUUUUCGGUUAAAAGCCUAAUGAAUGAAUAGAUACUAAACUCUGCAGUGGUCCAAGUCUAUGAAGAUACAAUCAAUCACAGUAUCCUGCUUCUGAACUGAAUGACAUUCGGACUGUCUUUACAGUCAUGAUAGAUCCAUGUGAUCUUCAGACAGAGACUGGAGCAGAAAUAGCUGAUGUAUUACAUCAGAGAACAGAAGCUGAAUGUCCUUUCAGUCAUGUUUAGGUAACACUCUACUAUAAACUCCACACAUAAGCAAUGUAAUAAUUCUUAACUCCUGCUUUAAUAAUGAUGAAUGAACAACAUGAACUAAUCUUUAGCACAUGAGGAAAUAAGGAGCUGUAAACAUUAACAGACAACUGAGUCAUAUGUGAACAGCCAUUAAGAAGAAGAAGAAUGAUUAAGAAGUAUUAAGUAAUGUCUUGUUAACUCAUUCUGUUAAUGACAUUUAUGACUUAACAAAGAUCAUUUACAAUGAAAAUGUUUAGUUUAUCUCAAAUUAUAGGCUAUAGGGUACGUUUGUGACCCUUUUGAAUAUUCAUUUUCUAGCAAAAUGUUCCCUCUAGGAUUUUGAAGUUUUUUUGGUUGUUAUUUAUUUAUUUGUUUGUUUGUUUGUUUGUCUGUCUGUCUGUUUAUUUGUUUACUGCUAUUGUUGCAGCCAAAAGGAUGCUGCAUUUCUCAAAAUUUGUGAUACUACAUGCAGAAACUUUGAAAUUGUGAAAAUGUAAGAACAGAAUUCUUCUUCAUAUCUGAUGAUAUAAAUGAUCUACACUAUAUUGCCAAAAGUAUUCGCUCACCCAUCCAAAUAAUCAGAAUCAGGUGUUCCAAUCACGUCCAUGGCCACAGGUGUAUAAAAUCAAGCACCUAGGCAUGCAGACUGUUUUUACAAACAUUUGUGAAAGAAUGGGUCGCUCUCAGGAGCUCAGUGAAUUCCAGCGUGGAACUGUGAUAGGAUGCCACCUGUGCAACAAAUCCAGUCGUGAAAUUUCCUCGCUCCUAAAUAUUCCACAGUCAACUGUCAGCUGUAUUAUAAGAACGUGGAAGUGUUUGGGAACGACAGCAACUCAGCCACGAAGUGGUAGGCCACGUAAACUGACGGAGCGGGGUCAGCGGAUGCUGAGGCGCAUAGUGCGAAGAGGUCGCCAACUUUCUGCAGAGUCAAUCGCUACAGACCUCCAAACUUCAUGUGGCCUUCAGAUGAGCUCAAGAACAGUGCGCAGAGAGCUUCAUGGAAUGGGUUUCCAUGGCCGAGCAGCUGCAUCCAAGCCAUACAUCACCAAGUGCAAUGCAAAGCGUCGGAUGCAGUGGUGUAAAGCACGCCGCCACUGGACUCUAGAGCAGUGGAGACGCGUUCUCUGGAGUGACGAAUCGCGCUUCUCCAUCUGGCAAUCUGAUGGACGAGUCUGGGUUUGGCGGUUGCCAGGAGAACGGUACUUGUCUGACUGCAUUGUGCCAAGUGUAAAGUUUGGUGGAGGGGGGAUUAUGGUGUGGGGUUGUUUUUCAGGAGCUGGGCUUGGCCCCUUAGUUCCAGUGAAAGGAACUCUGAAUGCUUCAGCAUACCAAGACAUUUUGGACAAUUCCAUGCUCCCAACUUUGUGGGAACAGUUUGGAGAUGGCCCCUUCCUCUUCCAACAUGACUGUGCACCAGUGACCAAAGCAAGGUCCAUAAAGACAUGGAUGACAGAGUCUGGUGUGGAUGAACUUGACUGGCCUGCACAGAGUCCUGACCUCAACCCGAUAGAACACCUUUGGGAUGAAUUAGAGCGGAGACUGAGAGCCAGACCUUCUCGUCCAACAUCAGUGUGUGACCUCACAAAUGCGCUUCUGGAAGAAUGGUCAAAAAUUCCUAUAAACACACUCCUAAACCUUGUGGACAGCCUUCCCAGAAGAGUUGAAGCUGUUAUAGCUGCAAAGGGUGGACCGACUUCAUAUUGAACCCUAUGGAUUAGGAAUGGGAUGUCACUUAAGUUCAUAUGCGAGUCAAGGCAGGUGAGCGAAUACUUUUGGCAAUAUAGUGUAUUUCAAUCAUUUCUACGACAGCUCUACUCAUAUUCAACACAUCACGAAGUUUGCUAGAUUUUGUGUUCUGUGUUCACCGAAUGACCGAAUCCUGGAGAGACUGAAUAAACCAGAGCAGGGACUUAUUAUUAAACAUGAUACACAAAUUUGAUAAUAUUUAUGAUAAUAAAGAUUAAAUCUGCAGUACAUGUUGUUGAGGAAUAUUGUGGUUUGAAACAAACAGAUUUCAUCAUUUUUUAUUUAUUUACAUUUUUUUUACAAAAUAUAUAAUUUAAUUGGCAUAUGCCACAGACUUUUAGAGUGGAUCAUCAUCAUCAUCAUCAUCAUCACUACUUUUAUAACGUCACACUGCUACAGUGCUUUGAUUUAGAUCAUGUGAUCUCUAAGCCAGCUUUGCAGUGUGAAUUGUCUCUAGUUACUCAAACAGCACUAAUUAAUUUAAUCAGCUGAGUUACUUACAUUUGGCUGAUUAAUAAACAAAAUGAGUUAAAAAGAUAACAAGAGAGUAAUACUUAACCAUUGCUCUUCCAAAUGGUUAUUCAGAUACAGUGGAUAUAAAAAGCCUACUCAUCCCUGUUCAAACCAAGAUAUAUAACCAAGAUAAAUCAAGUCGGAUCUUUUUCCAUCUUUAAUGUGAUAGAGCAACCAAAUAGAAAUGUUUCAGAAGAAUAAAACAGAAAGAAAGCACAGCCUGGUUGUAUAAUUAUGCACAUCGCUUAACUAAUGCUUAACACUGCAGCACUCAGUCCUUUGGGGGAAGAGUUUACCAACUUCAUUUCAUUUUGAUUUGCCAAUUUAAUUGCAGAAAUGCUCCUGUGCUUCUUCCACAAGCUUUCAUUAGGAUUGGAGUCUGACUCUGGAGUCAUUCCAGAGUCAUGUUCUACUCUACUUCUGAAACCGUUUCCUGCAGCCUGCAGUUUUUGUUUGUUUUGUUUUGUCAAAAUUGAUAAUCCCAAUCCCAGCUGAAGAGAAGCAGCCGCAUAGUAUCAUGCUGUCAUCACCAUGUUUCACUGUGGCUACUUCUUUGGAUGACAAACUGUCAAAUGGUCUCAGGGAUGUGGAAGCUUAGUGGUUAAGGUGUUGGAUUACUGAUCAGAAGGUUGUGAGUUUGAUUCCCAGGUCCACCAAGCAUCCACUGCUGGGCCCCUGAGCUAAACCCUUAAUUGCCCAGUUGUAUAAAGAUAAAUUGUAAGUUGCCCUGGAUAAGGGUUUCUGCCUUGUAAACCUAUAUUUUAAAAUGUUUUACUGUGGUCUCAAUUUUACCACAUAGUUUCGGGAGAUUUUUUCGUUUGUUUUGUGUUUUAUUGUAAGAAAGGCCCCCAGUCUAUCCACCUACCCAUAUCCUAGAUGUGAAGAAUACAAGAGAUUGUUGUUGUACGCAGGAAGUCCAACUCUUUAAUGGUGCUGUAGAUCUCUUGGCAGCUUCGCCGGCAAAGUUUCAUCUUGUUUUUCAUCAAUUUUAGAAGGAUAUUCUUUUCAUAGUAAUGUCACUGUGGUGCCCCACUCAUGGUUGAUGAUGACCGUCACACUGUCUCAUGGUCAUUGUAAUGUUUUGGAAAGUCAUUUGUGUACUCCUCACUUCAUUGAUACCUGUGAGAAACAGGGCAUGAUGUGGACGUUUUUUUGCAGAGCAUGGAAUCGACUGAAACCAAAAAGAGGUCAAGAAAGUCCUACGGAAAGAACUGAUCAUUAUUUGGGGUUAAUCAGGCGUAUGGUCAUUUCUUUUGAACAUGAUUUGUUCAGUCUGAGUAGAGGUUAUUGUGUCCAAACAUUUUGGUUGCGAUAUCACAUUAAAGGUGGAAAAAAAUCCUGACAUGACUGGAGGAUAUGGUUUCAUUUCAUACGAAAAUCAUGAAAAAAAAAAAACUUUAUCAGGAGUGUGUAAACUCUAUCCAGGACUCAGUCGCCUGUUAAUGUCUGCAAUUAAUUAUUUCCUCAUGUGCUAAGGAUGAGUGCAUAUAUUCAUUCAUCAGUAUGAAAGCAGUAGUUCAGUAUUAAUAUAUUGAUUAUUGUGGACUUUAUAGUAAAGUGUAACCAAUUUAUAAAUCUGUCUUUUCUAGGUAGUAGAUAUCAAUUUAUGUAAUUGCUGAUUACGUAAAUUGAUUGAGAUUCUGUAAUCGCUGCUUGAAGGCAAAUAUCAGUGCACAGGUUUAUUUAAAAUAAAACGUCAGCUCUUCAUAAUGCAUUUAUAAAUCUCUUCAUGUUAGUCAUGUUAGGUCAGGAGGCUGUAGAAAAAAAAAGAUAUUUCACAUGUGACUGUUUCCCUGCAUUCCAGUACUGUGUGUAAUGUGUUCUUGUCGACUUCCUAACAUCAUUACAAGAAAGACAAUUCCUGUUUUAUUCUAUAGGAUGUUCCAGUCCUUUUCUUUUCGUUAGAUGAACCGUUUUUAACUUCCUAAAUUCUUUACUCAAGUAAAUGAAAGCUUCAAAUUUUUCACUCAAAUUAAAAUCUAACAGAACAUUUACAAGAAAGAUUCACCAUAAAAUAGACAGUAGACAAAUCGCAGACUGAUUUUCAUUAGUGAGGCUAACUAAUUACAGCUUUAUUACGAAUCUCUCAUGCUUGCUAGCAUGCUAAUAACUACUAGCUAGCUUUGACGAUACAAACUGUACAUAGCAGCAGAAAUAGUGAUGGGUAUAAGGUCUCUUUCUCAUAGAUAUAUUUGUUAUAGAUUUGUUAUGAAUUUUGAUUGACCCCAUGAAUCCGUCCGAUGCUAAAAUGAGCAACUUGUAUAAUUAGAGAGUGAUGAUGUUAUAGUGAGAAGAAAGAAGAAAGUUUGCUUUUGAAAUGAGCCCAAAGCUUUAGGUAAAAGCAUGAACUAAAUAAAAUAUUUUAUUUAUUUAUUUCUUUUCCAAAUAGCUUUGUUUCAGCUCCCUAGAUGAGUCUGUAUGUCGUGUACACAGUUUGGGGCACUGGUAAGGACCCUGGCUCACUACACACUGGGAUACUGGUGACUUAUUUUCCGGUGACGUUCUAAUUUCCUCAUCAGUCUCCAGUGUCAAAACCCAAACAUAAAAUAUUUAAGUUUUACAUGUCAUAUAAAUGUGUUAGCUUAAUCACAUGCAUUUCUGUCAAGGAAGUUCAAGCAGAAUCAUAGGCUAGCUGUUGGAUUUUUCUUUAUCAUGAUUACACGCUUAAACACGCCUUCUUUUGAUGCAAACAAACCAUAUAUAUAUAUAUAUAUAUAUAUAUAUAUAUAUAUAUAUAUAUAUAUAUAUAUAUAUAUAUAUAUAUACACUAUAUUGCCAAAAGUAUUCGCUCACCCAUCCACAUAAUCAGAAUCAGGUGUUCCAAUCACGUCCAUGGCCACAGGUGUAUAAAAUCAAGCACCUAGGCAUGCAGACUGUUUUUACAAACAUUUGUGAAAGAAUGGGUCGCUCUCAGGAGCUCAGUGAAUUCCAGCGUGGAACUGUGAUAGGAUGCCACCUGUGCAACAAAUCCAGUCGUGAAAUUUCCUCGCUCCUAAAUAUUCCACAGUCAACUGUCAGCUGUAUUAUAAGAACGUGGAAGUGUUUGGGAACGACAGCAACUCAGCCACGAAGUGGUAGGCCACGUAAACUGACGGAGCGGGGUCAGCGGAUGCUGAGGCGCAUAGUGCGAAGAGGUCACCAACUUUCUGCAGAGUCAAUCGCUACAGACCUCCAAACUUCAUGUGGCCUUCAGAUGAGCUCAAGAACAGUGCGCAGAGAGCUUCAUGGAAUGGGUUUCCAUGGCCGAGCAGCUGCAUCCAAGCCAUACAUCACCAAGUGCAAUGCAAAGCGUCGGAUGCAGUGGUGUAAAGCACGCCGCCACUGGACUCUAGAGCAGUGGAGACGCGUUCUCUGGAGUGACGAAUCGCGCUUCUCCAUCUGGCAAUCUGAUGGACGAGUCUGGGUUUGGCGGUUGCCAGGAGAACGGUACUUGUCUGACUGCAUUGUGCCAAGUGUAAAGUUUGGUGGAGGGGGGAUUAUGGUGUGGGGUUGUUUUUCAGGAGCUGGGCUUGGCCCCUUAGUUCCAGUGAAAGGAACUCUGAAUGCUUCAGCAUACCAAGACAUUUUGGACAAUUCCAUGCUCCCAACUUUGUGGGAACAGUUUGGAGCUGGCCCCUUCCUCUUCCAACAUGACUGUGUACCAGUGACCAAAGCAAGGUCCAUAAAGACAUGGAUGACAGAGUCUGGUGUGGAGGAACUUGACUGGCCUGCACAGAGUCCUGACCUCAACCCAAUAGAACACCUUUGGGAUGAAUUAGAGCGGAGACUGAGAGCCAGGCCUUCUCGUCCAACAUCAGUGUGUGUCCUCACAAAUGCACUUCUGGAAGAAUGGUCAAAAAUUCCCAUAAACACACUCCUAAACCUUGUGGACAGCCUUCCCAGAAGAGUUGAAGCUGUUAUAGCUGCAAAGGGUGGACCGACGUCAUAUUGAACCCUAUGGAUUAGGAAUGGGAUGUCACUUAAGUUCAUAUGCGAGUCAAGGCAGGUGAGCGAAUACUUUUGGCAAUAUAGUGUAUAUAUAUAUAUAUAUAUAUAUAUAUAUAUAUAUCUAUAUAUAUAUAUAGACCGUCACAUGAAGUCGCUUAAGUAAGUAAUAAUUUGAGUUCUACAACAAUGCUAGCAAGCUGCUUACAUUUGUAGAGUUUAUCCACUGUUUCUCAGAGGCUUUUAAGAGGUUUCAGACAACAGAAUCUUAUUUCCAGUAAGGGAACAUUGAUACUCCCUGGUUUUUCCCAGUGCAUUGUGGGAUUUCCCAGUGCACUGGAAUGAUUUUGAGAUUUUUGAGAUAAAGGGAGAGAGAGAGAGAGGGAGAGAGAGAGAGAGACCUUAAAAUGGCAGACUUCCUGAUCAGUGCCCUGAUUACUGAACUAGGGGGCUGAUUGAGACACGAUACAGAACCUAAAAAAUAAAUAGACGUUUCCUCACCCCAGGUGGACACUCACCUAGGUAGUAGACGCUUCUGAGUGAUGAAGGGAAGUCGACGAGGGCGUGUUAAAACACUAUUGGAACAAGGUGCUUGACUCACAUUAGCGUGUCAGUUAGCACACGCUUUGCAGAUGACUGAUCACUCUGUGUGCCAUUGGAUUUGUUCACGCUCAGUGUUGUGGCUUGUACUAAGUGCUUUGUCGGUGGUGGCAUUAAAUCUGCAUCAUGUUUAACCACAGGCCAAAGUAGCUCAUAAUCACAUAACCACAGUCCCAGGCUUUAUUUUGGUGGAUCCCUGAAACCCGCUAGUCUGAACGCUGAACUGCAAGCUCUCGUUUGUCUCUUUAUCCCUCACAAGCCAGAUUGGCUCACUCCCCCAACAAACACACUGUGUCCAAAAUGACGUUAAACCCAGUGAUGGUAAGUGAUGGAUUUUUGCAGAGCUUGCUCUAUAACCUUGCAGUAGUUGUUGUGGUACUAUUACUAAUACUUUACUAACAUAUCUCUCUUAACUGUUCAGCAGCGAAAGUAUCUAUGUUCCCAGGGCCACAUGUUCCACAGCUCUGUGAGGAAAUUAUUUGUAAAUCUUAACUCAUUUUACCAGAGGCCUGUUUUUGGGGUGAACGUGUGCAGCUUUGUCAUGUCAGUGAAAUAAAAGCAGACAAUCAUAGCUUAAAGAAUUUGUAAGUAUUUAUGCGUUGUUUUUUUUUUUACUUUAAGCCUAAAGGGGCAAUAUAUUCAUAGAAAAGUUAUUAAACAUAAACAGUCAUUUUUUUCCACACAAAAGUAAACCUAUUUCUGCUCUCUGAGAUGCCCCAAGGAGGUCAAAUGUGAAGGUGUUUAUCUGCAACCAGUAAAAUUGUGUGUAAGGUUCUCCAACAGAGGAAAAAACACACGUCUAAAACACACUGAAAUCCAACAGACUCGUUUUAGAUCAGACUCACAGCCAUAAAAUAAUUCACCUGUUUAUAUUGAUAAGUCAAUUUCCAUUUCCACCUUUCUGGCAGAAUAGAUCUGGUAAAAAGGGUUAAGGUAAAGCUAAACAUUAUUACCUGGCAAAUAGCCUACCUGAUUUUGAAUGCAAAAGGUACAGCCGGCCCUGGGGAUAUAGUGUUACCUCAAUUCAGAAUUACUGAGUCAGCUUCACACGGAUAGGUGACUUCUGACCACUGAUUCAAGACGGGUGGACGGGUGACCCUUUUCUUCCAACACUCCACUUGCAUAUGUGUUUAAUCUAUUAUUUAUCAUGUAAAUGAUAAAUAAUACCAUGCAUAUCAUGGUGUUGUGUUUCAAACGAUAUGCAUGCUCAGUCAUGUUCUUGUACAGUUUCUUUUUUGUCAAUGAAUUGUAAUUGUAUUAUAUUUUCAGCAUCUUUGCAGUUUCAAAUAACAACAUUUUUUUAUUCUGUUUUUCGACACAGUGGGCCACAUUCAGAGUCGGAAACUGAGGUCCAACAGUCCAACAGAUAUCUGCACGUAUUUAGAGUUCGGUUGAGGAGUUCUCCUUUCGGAUUAUGUAAAUCACCUGCAUGCACUCAGUGUCUCAAGGGUGCCAGAUUUUUUUUUUUACGUACAAGGUGAACUUCUUCCCAACAGUGUCAAGCCCAGGGGGAGUCCGAUCUUAUCCGGAAAGGGUCGUAGCGUGUACAGAUUUCCAUUCCAAUCAAGCAGGAGCCACACCUCAUACCAGCUGUUUAAUUAUACCAUUGUCUCAUGAUGUGGCUUCUUCUUGGCUGGAAUGAAACCCUGCAUCCACACCAGCCAUUUACACAUAAAUUUGGACACCACUGAUCUAGACCACUGCCUUUAAACCCAAGUCUGUGCCAUUAAGUCUAAAAAAAAGGGAUAGAAAAUAAGGACUGGAGAAGGAAACUGGUGGUGAAGAAAUCUAUCACAUGUGAUAUGAUGUAGAUGGACAAUGAGACUCAAUUUAAAUGAAUCUAUUUAAAUGUAUUCAAAGUUUAUUGUAUUGCACAUAUGCUGAUGCAUAACCGGUCUUACUGUAGUUACUAAUUACUAGCAAUUGGGUUUAAUCUGAUAAUUGCUGUGAGAAAUUGAAGGAUAAGCUGAGCUAGCAUUCCUCAUGGUACAUUGUGAAAUAUUAGUCCUUCGAGAAAAGCAGCGUCUCCUCUGAUGUCAUGUGUGCAAAAGAAGAUGGUUCUGUAAAAGUCAAAGAGAAAAUACUACUAAUUAUAUAUAAAAUAUAUAUUCAAUAUUUUUGUAGCCCAAAACAAGAACAUUCAAACUGACAGACAAUAGACAGACAAAUAGACAAUAACACCCAAGAAAAGCAUACUUUUUCGAACAAAUCCAAGUUCAAAGCUGACCAUACCAUCUGGAUAGCCUGAGGUCUGAAUACUGAUCUGCACCAUUUCUGUAUAAAUCCUCACAACUCAACUCUGAAUACGGCACUGUGCAUAAUUUGAUGUCUACACCUAAGCUAACCCUUUUCACUUGUGUAAACCUCGUGUGUUGUUUUAGGAUGUCCACUUACACACACUAACCUCUCUGCUUCUCUACAUUGGUGUGCAGGAAUCGAUCCAUGAUCCACCUGAAGAAUGAAAACAAAGCAGAACCGGUUAUCAUGACCUGUGUAAUAAUGCUAGCCGGUUCCUGUUUUCAUUCUGUCCUCUUUAGCCUCUUGAGUCAUCUGUAUUACAGCGAAUUCGAGAGAAGAAAACAGGCCUGUGCAUCUGAGAUCAGCCCUGGAAAGGACAAGCAUUUCCCUUCAUGUAGAAAAUACUUUCCAGUGACCGUAGCCGUCCAGAGAACUGUGAGAGCUUCACUCCCGUAGGAGACUGGAAGGU